AGUUCUACUGUGGGUAAAACGCUAUCAACUAGCAUCUCACGCCACAGAGAAAUCUUUCAUGAAAGGAUGAGUCCAUUGACGCAGCAAACUUGACUGUUGUGUUAAUUUGAGAAUUGCAACAGCCACCCCAAUUUUCAGCAGCCACCACCCUGACCGGUCAGCAGCCAUCAAUACUGAGGCAAGACCCUCUUAGUAGAAAAAAGAUUAUGACUCACGCUUUUUUAGCGCUAGCUGCGCCCCCUCCUGCUCCUCCCACUGCAGCUGCUGCCCUGAGUCACUGCCCCCUGCUGCCCCGAGUCACUGCCAGAGUCACUGCGGCAGCUGGGGCCACCUGGUUCCCGUACUACCUACCGGUAUUUGGAGAUCUUAACAACACAGCAGACAUUGACAACAAAGAACAGUGUGAACUUGAUCAAGAUUUGGAUGAUGUUGAAGAAGUAGAAGAAGAAACUGGUGAAGAAACAAAAAUCAAAGCGUGUCAGCUGACUGUUCAGAUGAUGCGAAAUCCUCAGAUUCUUGCAGCCCUUCAAGAAGGACUUGAUGGUCUGGUGGAAACACCAACAGGAUACACUGAAAGCUUGCCUAGGGUAGCUAAAAGGCGAGUGAAUGUUCUCAAAAACCUUCAAGUUAAAUGUGCACAGAUAGAAGCCAAAUUCUAUGAGGAAGUUCAUGAUCUUGAAAGGAAGUAUGGGGCUCCCUAUCAGCCUCUACUCGAUAAGCGGUUUGAGAUUAUUAAUGCAGUUUAUGAACCUACGGAAGAAGAAUGUGAAUGGAAACCAGAUGAAGACGACGAAAUUUCUGAGGAGCUAAAAGAAAAGGACAAGAUUGAAGAGGAGAAAAAAGGAUGAAGAAAAAGAAGAUCCCAAAGGAAUCCCUGAAUUUUGGUUGACUGUUUUGAAAAAUGUUGACUUGCUCAGUGAGAUGGUUCGGGAACAUGAUGAACCUAUUCUGAAGCAUUUGAAAGAUAAUUAAAGUGAAGUUUUCAGAUGCCGGCCAGCCAGUGAGUUUUGUCUUAGAAUUUCACUUUGAACCCAAUGAAUAUUUCACAAAUGAAGUGUUGACAGAGACAUAUAGGAUGGGGUCAGAACCAGAUGAUUCUGAUCCCUUUUCUUUUGAUGGACCAGAAAUUAUGGGCUGUACAGGGUGCCAGAUAGACUGGGAAAAAGGAAAGAAUGUCACUUUGAAAACCAUCAAGAAGAAGCAGAAACACAAGGGACGUGGGCCAGUUCGUACUGUGACUGAGACAGUUUCCAAUGACUCUUUCUUCAGUCUUUGUGCGCAUCCUGAGGUUCCUAAGAGUGAGGAUCUGGAAGAUGGCGCCGAAGCUAUCCCUGCCGCGGACUCUGAAACCGGCCACUUUUUACGUGAACGUACAAUCCCAAGAUCAGUGUUAUACCUCACUGGAGAAGCUAUUGAAGAUGACGACGAUGAUUAUGAUGAAGAAGGUGAAGAAGCGGAUGAGGAAGGGGAAGAAGAAGGAGAUGAGGAAAAUGAUCCAGACUACGACCCGAAGAAGGAUCAAAACCCAGCAGAGUGCAAGCAGCAGUGAAGCAGGAUGGUCUGCCUUCUGCUUCCCUGGAAAGGAUGAAUUUACAUCUUUUGUCAAGCCUAUUUCAAGUGUUUUGUUGUUGGUUGUUUGUUUGCUUGUUUUUGUUUUUUUUUUUGCAGCCUAAAAUAAAAUUGUCAAAUACACUUUAA